CUCUAGGUGGGUGAGCCUUUUCAGGCUGUGCUGGACUUGUUGGUGAUGCGGGAGUGGCUCUGUUCAGAGGCUCUGUCAGUGACUUUGAGCUUCAUACAUGACUGCUUUUCGUCCAUCAACAUUUCAGCAGACCUGUCUGCUGUGUUCCUUGGUCUUGGUCCAUGUUUACCAAUAAUCUCCACCAGACCUCUGAGCCCUUCACAGAACAGCUGGAUUUAUACUAACAUUAGAUCCCACGCAAGAGGACACUUUCUACUAAUAAGACCAUGGCUGUAUUGGCCUGCUGUUGCUCCUGCCUGGGAGGAUCACUGUCUCUGAGAAGCAUUACUCGUCGAUGUUGAUGAUCACCAGAUGUGUUUCUCUGUUGACAGAGCAGCAUUAUUCUGGAGCUGUAAAAAUCUAGCUUUUCAGAUGAAUAUCUGUUGCAAGUAAGAGGUAAAGAAAACAGGAUUUUAAUAUUUUUAUUGAUUUUCUGUAAUGACUUGUCUGUGUUUUAGCUUGAUUUGACAGAAUUAUGUGUUGGACCUGGAGCUGUUACAGCGCUAUAUACAGUCUUUUGGUGUUAGUUUGAAAAAUGUCCAUGGCUCCCUUUUCAUUUUCCUGAAGCACUGUCAUAAAGACUAAGUCAAUAAAUUUUGUUGCACUAGAACAACAACAUUUAGCAGCUACU